GAGGGUCUAGCUCAGUGGUAGAGUGCUUGCUUAGCAUGCACUAUGCCCUGGGUUCGAUCCCCAGUGCCUCCA
rnacentral:tRNA from 1 species